rnacentral:rRNA from 1 species
GGCGCACGGGUGCGUAACGCGUAUACAAUCUACCUUUUACAGGGGGAUAGCCCAGAGAAAUUUGGAUUAAUACCCCAUAGUAUAUAUAGAUGGCAUCGUUUGUAUAUUAAAGAUUUAUUGGUAAAAGAUGAGUAUGCGUUCUAUUAGUUAGUUGGUGUGGUAACGGCACACCAAGACAGCGAUAGAUAGGGGCCCUGAGAGGGGGAUCCCCCACACUGGUACUGAGACACGGACCAG